AACAAACUAAAAAUAAUCCCCAGAUGCUUUGUUCAUCAGCUGUCCUUCUCCAAGAGGUGAUGUCAGACCAGCAAUUAGUUCAGCACAAUGGGAUAAAUAUAGCUGGGGGUCGAAGGUAAAACUCUCAUGAACAGCAGUGGCAGGCUUCCCCUUCUGCCGGAGCAUGAAAAUCCAUAAGACAAAUGAAGGAACGGGGGAAGGACAUUAGAAGGACUUCAGAGAGAGCAGGACCAUUCCAUCACCGGCUGCGACGUGAUAAACGAAGAGCAAAGAUAAACAGAAAGCGCGCGCGCUGCUCUGACAGGAUGAAUGAAGCUGCAACGUGUCCAAUCGGGAGCUGAAAACAAGAUGUAUCUUCAUUAAAUCUGUAGUAUGUCAAAACACUGGGACAAAAUGGGAAUAAACAUCAAUGAAUAGUGAUUUGAGAAUGUAGGUCACUCGCUCUCUGUCGCUUUCCAUCUCUCUGUAUUGUCCUCUGAAUUAUACAAUUCUUUGCUUCUUUCUCCCGUUUGACCCUCAUAGGACAGAACACACAGCCCUCAGAUCUCCGGAGGAAAUGACAGGAGUUGAAUACUGAAUUAAUCUCCAGAGUCAAGUUACUAAUGAAUAGACAGAUGAUAAAAUGUAAAUGAUAUAAAAGGACUCUAUGUGCUACAAAUAAAAGUCUGGCCUUCUUGAUUUUAUCGUGUUUACAUGGCUGGCGUACAUGGUCACAUGAUUACAGUUGGAUAUAUCCAGUAUGCCCCUCUGCAAAAUGAUGCCAAUGUCAAAGCUGAAAAAGAAGCAUGUGACCAGUGAGAAUACAAAGAGCUACAUUUUUUUUUUAAAUAUAAAACGGAUUAUUCCAUUAUAAAAUUGCAGAUUUCAAGGAAUUGUUAUUACACAGUAAGAUAAAGGGGGGGGGGGGGGGUGAUUUGUUACUAUUUUAUGGGUUUUUUUACUCUAAAAAAAUUGCCUGCUGGUAAAAACAAAAUAUUACAAUCAUGUUUUGUCUCUGUAAUUUCCCAUCGGUUAAAACUGUGACCAAGAAUAAACCGCAUACUUUCACCAACAUCUUUAAAUCUCUGUAGGCAUAAAGUUUAUUGCAUAAAAUUCAUGUGCUCACAUAGCAGGUUAACUAAAACGGUUAAAAAUGGUUUUCGCCGAAAUGAAAUAAGUGGAAAUAAAAUAUUUACAAAUAUAUAAUGAAUAAAUAUAGACAUUAGAUGAAGUAUUUUAAUGUAAAUGAAAAUUAGAAAUGUUGCUUUGGCAAGUGCUGAAAAUACAGUAGGGCCCUACGUCUGAACUGAAGUACUCAAAUUACUUAAACUAUAGAAAUUUAAAAGCUAAUAAAAUGACACGAAAUGGCAACAAAAUAUAAAAAUAGCACACAGUAUAUAAACAAUACUAAAACACACCGUUUGGGAUCAAUUUGGUUAAUUAGUGAUUGUUUAAUUAUCAUUGCCGAUUGCGAGAACACACUGCACUUGCUAUAAAACCCAAUAGCAACUACUGGUCACUUUUUUCCCUAGAUAUUUCAGAGAACAGUCUAGAUAUUUCAGAGAACUGACAGUCUUUACCUGCAUUAGUCAAUGUUUCUGUGCUGUCUGUGAACUAACCCAGUUCAUCAAGCCACUGAUCCAGGGACAGUUAAAUGUGGACUCACUGGCAGAAACAGUUGAAUUUGCUCUCCUG
rnacentral:lncRNA from 1 species